rnacentral:rRNA from 1 species
UACGAACCGUCCAAACGUUAUUCGGAUUUAUUGGGCUUAAAGGGUAUGUAGGCGGCGCUGUCAGUCGGGUGUGAAAGCCCUCGGCUCAACCGAGGAACUGCGCCCGAUACUGCAGUGCUUGAGGGAGACAGAGGUAAGCGGAACUGAUGGUGGAGCGGUGAAAUGCGUUGAUAUCAUCAGGAACACCAGUGGCGAAAGCGGCUUACUGGGUCUCUUCUGACGCUGAGAUACGAAAGCUAGGGGAGCGAACGGG